rnacentral:misc_RNA from 1 species
GUUAAAACAUAAACGGAGAGAUGCUUUUGUAAAAAAAUAAAAUGUUUGUGUUGUGCGGCUUAACAGGACCCCUAGAUAUGCCACUUUCUUGGUGGAGCUUUUGGCUAUAUCAUGUAUACAGCCAGCAGAGACCUUGCAUGAGAUGGUCAAUAUUUUGGUGACUAUGCUUUCGGAUGGUUCGACAGUUGAACAUUUGCUUGUUUAUUGUCCCUCAUAUAUGAAAUGUAUUAAAUGAUGUUUUCUCAACUCUACUAAGCCUUUAUCUUAAAAAUUUGGGGUUGGCUAUACUGAUUCUCUUUCUCCACUGUAAACGAUUUUGGAUUAAAUCCUUGAAAAUAAGUAAUGCUUUUAGGUCAUGUUGU